CUCUUUGUUACGUAAUCCUAUACGAAUGACAAAGACAUAAAAUCAGUGUGGGCGUAAACCAUUUUGAGCGACCAAUUACAAACGAGCCCAUGUUUUCUGUCCUACUCUAUCCACGGAAACAAGCUAGUUCAAAAAACAUAGGCUCGUUUGAGAUUGGUUAAUCACUCAAAAAUAUUUAACGCCCAUUGACUUUUCG